rnacentral:rRNA from 1 species
GGGUGAGUAACACGUGGGCAACCUGCCUGUAAGACUGGGAUAACCCCGGGAAACCGGGGCUAAUACCGGAUAAUACUUUCUUUUGCAUAAAGGAAAGUUGAAAGGCGGCUUCGGCUGUCACUUACAGAUGGGCCCGCGGCGCAUUAGCUAGUUGGUGAGGUAACGGCUCACCAAGGCGACGAUGCGUAGCCGACCUGAGAGGGUGAUCGGCCACACUGGGACUGAGACACGGCCCAGACUCCUACGGGAGGCAGCAGUAGGGAAUCUUCCGCAAUGGACGAAAGUCUGACGGAGCAACGCCGCGUGAGUGAUGAAGGUUUUCGGAUCGUAAAACUCUGUUGUUAGGGAAGAACAAGUUGGGUAGUAACUGACCCAACCUUGACGGUACCUAACCAGAAAGCCACGGCUAACUACGUGCCAGCAGCCGCGGUAAUACGUAGGUGGCAAGCGUUGUCCGGAAUUAUUGGGCGUAAAGCGCUCGCAGGCGGUCCUUUAAGUCUGAUGUGAAAUCUCGCGGCUCAACCGCGAACGGUCAUUGGAAACUGGAGGACUUGAGUACAGAAGAGGAGAGUGGAAAUUCCACGUGUAGCGGUGAAAUGC